rnacentral:lncRNA from 1 species
AGGUUCCCAGGCUAGGGGUCAAAUAGGAGCUACAGCUGCCAGCCUACACCCCAGCCACAGCAUCGCAGAUCCCUGACCCACUGAGCAAGGCCAGGGAUCGAAGCCACAACCUCAUGGCUCCUAGUCGGAUUCCUCUCCCCUGCAGGAACUCCCAUGGAAUAGGUUUGAGGACAGCCCCAUGUAGACCCGUGACGCCGGAUGCGAGGACAUCUUGGUGUCGCCAUCGGGAAGGCUGUGGGCGGUUGUACCUCCUGCUGGAGUCUGUGUUCCAGUCUGAGAGCUGCUAGCUUGGCCUCUGUCCCUGAAGGUGUGUCUUCCAGCCAAGGGGCCGCCCCCCAUCCCCCACCUUGGCCGGGGCAGCACCCUGAGGACCGUGUCCAGGCCCUUCCUGAGGCGGAGCUAGCAGGCUGUGCUGUCCUGUCGGGGUGCGGCGAGGGCCCUCCCAGAACCAAGGGGAGGCAGCGCAGCGUGACCAGCAGCCUGACAGCAUCAGGGUCCACGUGCAACUUGGUGACAAAGACCAUCCUGCUGGGAUGUACAGAAUGGGGUUCUUCCAGGAGUCCAUCAGCCUGGCCGUCCUCUCUGUGAGCUCAGAAGAGACUGCCCCCGAGAUCGAUGCCAUGGUGUGUGUCUAGAUUCUGAUGCUGUGAGUGUAAUGAAGCCAGAUCAGAGAGCCUGUUCUCAGCUAGGCGGUAGGUCUAAGCCUGGGAUUAAUUUAACCUUCCCAGUAACGCCAUUCUUUUUUCCUUUUUUUUCCCCCCUGUCUUAGGGCAGCCCCCGCAGCAUGUUCCCAGGCUGGGGUCUAAUUGGAGCUGCAGCUGCCAGCCCACAGCAACGCUGGAUCUGAGCCGCAUCUGUGACCUCUACGUCAGCUUGCAGCAACACUGGAUCCUUAACCCACUGAGCGAGGCCAGGGAUCGAACCCCCGUCCUCAUGGAUGCUGGUCGGGUUCGUUACCCAUGUUAACCACUGAGCCCUAACGGGAACUCCCUAACAGCCUCAUUCUUUGAAAUAGGUGCCAUCGUGUCCCCGCUGUCCCAGCUAGGAGUUGGGGUUCCUCGGAGAUGAUAAUCUGUCCCUGUUUCGAGGGGGGGGUCGGGGUAGAGGGCCUCCUUUCUGCAGCCUCCCUGCACGUUCAGGUCCUGCUGGGGGCUGGGGCUCUCUCCCCCCCCCCUCCCUGCAGUUGAGAAUGCUGGGGGGCGGGGUUUCAAUCCCCAUUUCUGUCACUUUGGCCCUUAGGGCCCCUUCGUGGUUGAUCUGCAGGGACUGGGCUGAGGGGAGGCUCCGGGGUGUGCCCUGUGAGGUCCGUGGGUCCUGGCCUUAGAGCAGAUGCUCAGCCCUUACUCCGGAGCUUGGCCAGAGAUGCCAGGGCUGGGUCAUUGAACAGCAGCCUCUGUGCACCCUUCGCCCCCGCCCCCAGCACCAUGCAGCACCCUGAAUUCCACGGCAGCCCACGGAGAUGGGGGGAUGGAGAAGGAGGUGGCUGUGCUCAGGCGGCCCCUUCAGGAACCAUGCUUGGGGACCCCCAUGAUGUCCAGCACUGGGCUCUGAACUUCUGUGAAGACGUGGUGCUCCCCCGGGACCUUUGACACCCAGGGGUCUGAGGGGCCACCCCCAGCUCUGGGAAGGAGUGGGUGGGGGUCAUGGUUGCCCCACACCCCCUCCCCAACCUCUUACCUACCUCUCCCCUUCCUGUCUGCAGGCCGUUCCUCCAGAAGUUUGGCAGCCCCACCAGCCCCCUCGCUCCCGGGGGGGGCCUUGCCCCUUCAGCCUCCGCGCUGCUCUCCGCACAGAGCUGCCGUGGCCGUGGCUGAGCGAGCCCUGGGUGGGGCGAGCAACCUCUUCGACACACACAGCGCUCCUGGCCAUGGCGCAGCGCUUCCGGCAGAACCGCAGUGAACUCAUGACCACCUGGACCUGUGGGUCUAUGACGGGGGGAGGGGGGGCCCAGCCCUGUCCCUGGAUUCCGGGGAGCAGAUGCUGCGGGCGACCUGACCGGCGACACUGUCUUCAGCUACUGCUGCAAGGCUCUGCAAGACGCUGCUGGCCUGGCGCCAGCGCUGGAAGUCCUUCCUGCACUUGGAGACCACUGAGCCGCCCUCUGGCCCUGGAUCGCCAUGGAGGAGGGCUUCCAACUGGUGUGUGAGCUGGGCACGCUGGACUGGAUCUACCACGAGCCAAGCCCAAGUGCCUGGCUCCCAAAGACAUGCCUGUGGCGGUGCCUACUGACGGCCGCGCCCUCGGAGCUGUCCCUCUCCCUGGUCAGCCUGCUGGUCAAGGGCAUGACGGUGCUGAAGAUCCAGACCAUGGCCGCCAAGCUCCUGCUGGGGCCCAACCCGAUGAACACAAAUCGUGGGCUGGCUGCUGAGCCGCGGUGUGUCCAGGGAGCGGGUGGACCGGUGAACCACCAGGGUCCUCCUGGAGCUGCCCAUCAAAGGGGCCAAGCACAGCCGGGGCUGAGGCCCCCCACGUGCUGGUGGAGGAGCAGCCCCUGCCUCCCCGGUCCUCUGACCAGGCCUGCAGGGAGGAGCUGCAGUGCACCAGGACUACGCACCCCACAAUCCAGGCCACUUUCUGCUUGGUGCUGGGAGUGGAGCAGGGGCCCAUGUCGGAGAGACACAAAGUCUUGGCCAAAGCGCCUCCUGAUCGUCCCCAGGAUAGACAGAGGGACAGCACCCCCAGCUCCAGCCAUCUCCUGCCAGGCCAGACCCUGACCACGCAUCCUGAAAACCUCGGAGAGGGUCCUUGCCCCCGCCGCCGUGGGCAUCACUGGCCUGAGCUGGUGGAGAGCAGCCAGUUGGCUGGCGUUGCUGGUUGAGGGGAGAGAGUCCGUUAAAUAUUUCAGUCUGUUACACCUUAGCCUGAUAAGCGGGGUGGGUGGGCACCCACCGUUGUGCCACACGGGCCCCCAACGCACUACAGGCCAAGCUUGAGACCCCGCAUCCCACCCCGCAAAAGCACCUUCAAGUUUGUGCCCUUGCCCUUGAGGUUUUUUCUUUAACGCGGUGGCUGUACCUGAUACUUGACUUUAGGCGUGUGCGGCGCUUGGGUUUAGUGUCCUCACUACUGCUUUUGUGAUGGUUUUUCUCUAAGUUGUUUUUUUUUGUUUGUUUUUUUUGCAAUGCCCUUUUCUUGAAAUGGAAUUUUUUUGCCUUUUGCUUUCCUGGGAAAAGGGCAGCCAGUCCCUUCCAGUUUCUCUCGCUGCACGCGUGGCUGGAGUGUCUGCAUCACCAGAGUUCCAGCAUUGUGAGGAUGGACAGCCGUGGCAGGUGGUGCCGGACACCAUUAAAGAGCCCAUGUGCUGCU